UACAGAGGGGGCAAGCGUUGUUCGGAAUUACUGGGCGUAAAGGGCGCGUAGGCGGCCUGCUAAGUCGAACGUGAAAUCCCUGGGCUCAACCCAGGGACUGCGUCCGAUACUGGUUGGCUUGAAUCCGGGAGAGGGACGUGGAAUUCCAGGUGUAGCGGUGAAAUGCGUAGAUAUCUGGAGGAACACCGGUGGCGAAGGCGACGUCCUGGACCGGUAUUGACGCUGAGGCGCGAAAGCCAGGGGAGCAAACGGG
rnacentral:rRNA from 1 species